GACAGAGGAGGCAAGCGUUGUUCGGAUUCAUUGGGCGUAAAGGGUGCGUAGGUGGUUGGGUAAGUCAAAUGUGAAAUCCCGGAGCUCAACUCCGGAACUGCAUUCGAUACUGCCCGGCUCGAGGAUUGGAGAGGAGACUGGAAUUCACGGUGUAGCAGUGAAAUGCGUAGAGAUCGUGAGGAACACCCGUGGCGAAGGCGGGUCUCUGGACAAUUCCUGACACUGAGGCACGAAGGCCAGGGGAGCAAACGGG
rnacentral:rRNA from 1 species